UACGAGGGGGGCAAGCGUUGUUCGGAAUUAUUGGGCGUAAAGGGCUCGUAGGCGGUUUGUCGCGUCGGAGUGAAACCCAGGGCUUAACUCUGGGCUUGCUUUCGAUACGGGCAGACUAGAGUGUUGCAGGGGAGACUGGAAUUCCUGGUGUAGCGGUGAAAUGCGCAGAUAUCAGGAGGAACACCGGUGGCGAAGGCGGGUCUCUGGGCAACAACUGACGCUGAGGAGCGAAAGCGUGGGGAGCAAACAGG
rnacentral:rRNA from 1 species